CACGUAGGGCGCAAGCGUUGUCCGGAAUUAUUGGGCGUAAAGAGCUCGUAGGCGGUCUGUUACGCCUGCUGUGAAAACCCGGGGCUUAACCCUGGGCUUGCAGUGGAUACGGGCAGACUAGAGGCAGGUAGGGGAGAAUGGAAUUCCCGGUGUAGCGGUGAAAUGCGCAGAUAUCGGGAGGAACACCGGUGGCGAAGGCGGGUCUCUGGGCCGAUACUGACGCUGAGGAGCGAAAGCGUGGGGAGCGAACAGG
rnacentral:rRNA from 1 species